rnacentral:lncRNA from 1 species
GGAGGGUCCCCUAUCUGAGUAUGCCCUGCUGCCUUCUUUUUUUUAAGACAAGGUCUCACUCUGUUUCCCAGGCUGGAGUGCAGUGAUAUGAUCAUAGCUCACUGCAGCUUUGACCUUCUGGACUCAAGAGAUCCUCCCACCUCAGCCUCCUGGGUAGCUGAGACUACAGCUGUGGGCCACCCUGAUACCCUCUUUAAGCUAUGAGACUUAAUUUUCAAGGCCUGAAAAACAAAACAAACAAGCAAAAACAGAGAAAAUCCCAUUCAAUACCUAACAUCAUCCGUUUUCAUAAGUAAGACAACUUGGAACUCCAAUAAUUCUACACUAAAAGAAGAAGGCUUGUCCACUACAGCAAAGCAUUGCUUCUCUGACUUGGGCCAAAUGUGUGUGUUUAGCUCUGUGAGGAAGAACUCCAGCAUUUUCAGGACACCCACACCAUCAAGGUCAGCGACAAGAACUGACAUGCGUCUCCCUCUGUCCUUUUGAGGUUCCAGCUCAUGCCUGUUGGUUCCAGCCUGCUAGUGAUCUCCCCACAGUUGUAUCCAUCUUUCCUUCCCAACUACCUGCAGGCGUCAGGCUCCAACAUCAGAGGUAAAAACAGCAGCCUUAAAAAAAAACUGAACCAACUCUCAUGAUUGUGUCGUCAGAUCUCUGCAAUAAAUCCCUUAAAUAUAUACACGGCUGUGUGUGUGAGAGAGAGAGAGAGAGAGAAAGAGAGAGAAAUUUAUAAAUGUAUAAGUACAUUUUGUAUGUAUCUAUACAUAUAUACAUAUUUUACAUGUAAAUUUUAUAUAUAAUAUGUGUAUAAUCUGCUAGUGGUU